UACGUAGGGGGCAAGCGUUGUCCGGAAUCAUUGGGCGUAAAGCGCGCGUAGGUGGCCCGAUAAGUCUGCUGUGAAAGUCCAGGGCUCAACCCUGGAAUGCCGGUGGAUACUGUCGGGCUAGAGUUCGGAAGAGGCAAGUGGAAUUCCUGGUGUAGCGGUGGAAUGCGCAGAUAUCAGGAGGAACACCAAUGGCGAAGGCAGCUCACUGGGACGGUAUUGACGCUGAGACGCGAAAGCGUGGGGAGCAAACAGG
rnacentral:rRNA from 1 species